AAAUUAAAUGGUUGUAAACCUAAUUGCUAGGUAUUCUGAUGCGUUGACAAAGUUGGUUCGGCGAUUCAUCGAGCCGUUGCAAAGAUAUUGAAGAAAGGGACCUUCCGGCAUUCGUUUCUGCCUGGAGGGCCGAGGUGGUGUCCAUAAAUCGCGGGAUCGGAUUUCGAGUGUCAUAGCAAGAAACUGAAGACCUUUAAUUUUCGGAUCGUGGAUCGGAGGUCGUUCGGUGGUCGCGCGUGAAUUGGGUCGAGCCGAGCAGCGUGCGUCUCUGGAGGUCGAUUGCGAGUGACGACGAGCAAUCGGAACGCUAUAACAGGUGGGUGAUGU
rnacentral:lncRNA from 1 species